UAAGUAUAUAGAAACAAAAUGUAUUAUUUAUAUAUGCUUAUAAAUUAAAAGUAUGGAUAAAAAAACGUCUUUGGCAAGAAAGAAAAAAAUACAUGUAGAGGAAGUUUAUGUCACUUCCGGUCGCCAUCUUGAUUCUUACUAAACCUGUAGCAAACUAAAAGGAUCAACCAAAGAAAAACCUUUUUAUUUGCAGAAUGAAAAAUAUAACAAGAUCGCAGUCUUCGUAAAAUCGGUGAUUGAAAAUGUUCCUGAAAGACUCAGCUGACCAGGCCGACUUUUGUGACCUACUAGCUUCAAUCCUUCCACCAUUUGUUAGGAUUUGUUGAAGACGGUGAUAAAACAUUUUCCUACUACAGUACCUGGCCCUGGAAAGUCCAGCUUGGCCCGCCGCAGCUCCGUCAUGGACGCCUGCAGCUGCUCGAUCACAAAGUCGUCCUCCAGGAAGAAAUCUUUGGCUAACGUGACCUGCAGGAACUCCACCAGCUCCUCCAUGGACAGCUUCAACAGCAGUUACUGGGACCAGAACUUGGUGGACCAGCAGAACCCGACCAGACGCCUGAGACCCAAACGGACGGGACCACCUUCUCGCUGUUCU